rnacentral:rRNA from 1 species
AUAGCUGCAGUAUAUUGNACUGUACAAAGGUAGCAUAAUCAAUAGUUUUAUAAUUUAAAGCUGGAAUGAAUGAUUUGAUAAGGWAAAUAUUGUCUCAAUUUUAAUAAAAUUAGAAUUUUUAUUUUAGUAAAAAUACUGAAAUAAUUUUUAAAGACGAGAAGACCCUAUAGAUUUUUAUAUUUUAAAUUAAAUUGAUUUAAAAUAAUUAAUAAAUUUUAAUUAAGAAGUAUUUGGUUGGGGAAAUUAUUAAAUUAAUUAAAUUUUAAUUAGGAAAAUACAAAAAUUAUUGGGUAAAUGAAUUUGUAAUUAUGAAUUUUUAGAAUAAAAUACCUUAGGGAUAACAGCGUAAUUUUUUUGGAGAGAUCAUAUUAAUAAAAAAGUUUGCGACCUCGAUGUUGAAUUAAGAUAAAAUUUUAAUGAARAAGUUAAAAAUUUUUGGUCUGUUCGACCAUUAAAAUCUUACG